rnacentral:lncRNA from 1 species
UGCAGAGCCCGGCGCUGGCUCCUCCCCCUCCCGCUGUUUAUUUGGGGAAGCAGCCGGUAGCUCCAAGGCUGGCACCGGUCCAGCACCAUGGAAAGGCCAACGGAUCCUCAAAUCCUAGUCGGGGGUUGCGUUGCGUUGCGCUGCCCUGCCCUGCCCUGCCCGGCCCGGCCCGGCCAGUCCUUCCUCCCUCCCUCCCUGGGCCGCCCCGCUCCGGGACCUCAGCGGGGCAGGGGGAAGCCAGGGCCAGGAGGUUCUCGUGCCCCUCCCCCCGCCUUUAACCCUUUGCCCCGUCGCCACCCCCGGAUACCCACCGAGUGGAGGGUAGAAGAGAUUUCACUAACUGGAAAUGAAUCUGUAUCUCUUCUCAUUAGACUGACUGAACUCUUCUUGAGGCAAGACUGUUCUUCCUGAGGGCAGAAAUAAAAAGAAAUGGUUGCCUGGUUGAAACACUGUGCCUCUGUUCUUUUUCAAAGAAAGAAAAAGAAAUGAAGACAUCCAUCGAGGCCUGCCUUUUCUGUGCGUUUUCAGACCAAAUGACGUUCUUCUGAUUUAAAUAUCCUACUACCCAAAGCCUGACAAUAUCGAAACGGUCACAGCAGUGCUCUGUGCUCAAGAUAGGAUUAAGUUAAGGCAUUUUUAGCUCCUGUAGCUCUAUAUUUUGCCACAGUGGGGAAAUAGCUCCUCGGAGGUCAUUUCUAGUUGGAAGUAUGCCACGUACAGCGGGCAACUUUAGAAGGGACAUUGUCUAAUUGCAGAGAGGGCAAGAGACCAGAGCUUAUACUUAGACACAGAAAGUUAAUCCUAGCCCUGGAAAGAUUAGUCAGUUGGGCGACCAAGAUGAGGAGUGGCAUGGUCUAGUGGAAAAAGCAAUGUUAGUGCUUCCCUCUGCCUGUCAGUCUCCCAAGAGAAAUACUGCUCUAACCUUUAUAGACUGUAGCCUACCACUUUAUCUUUGCAUUGUUGAGCAAUAAGUUUCCUAGAGUUCUGGAUAAGUGAUGGAGAUUCUUGGCUGUCUAUAGGGCCUUCUAGGUAAUACUACUACUAAUAAUAAUCGUGAUAAUGUUUGUAAGCACCUGUUAUUCGGCCAAGCACUAAACCAGGUGCUGGGGUAAAUACAAGAUAACAGAUGGGACAAGGUCACAGAUACAGAAUUUCAUCACAGGUUUCAGCUCAGCACGGAGAUACCUGCUUGCCUAUAGAGUUUGCUAGGUAAUAAAUAUUAAUAGUAAUAAUAACUUAUGCAAUUCACUCUGUGCCAAGCACUGUACUAAGCAGCGGGGUAGAUACAAAAUAAUCAGAUGAGACACACUCCAUGUCCAUGGACUCUGUAUCACAUGAAAUUCCGCUCCUCUAGCCACAGCCCCCUACCGAGUUUUGUUUUAAUUUUGUACUUUGUGUUUGUCAAUCAAUCAUAUUUAUUGAGCGCUGCACUAAGCACUUGGGGGAGCACAAUAUGCAGAGUUCAUAGUCAUAUUCCCUUCCCACUAGAAGCAUUCAUUAAUUCAUUAAUUCAAUUGUAUUUAUUGAGCACUUAAUGUGUGCAGAGCACUGAGCACUUGGGAGAGUACAGUACAACAAUAAACAGACACAUUCCCUGCCCACAACAAGCUUUCACCUUGUCCCUUAGGCUGUUUCAAUAUUUUAGUGUUUCCUUGCUCCCAAAAUGUCUGUCUCUAGUUCUCCUCCAACAGUUCCCACCUAUUUUCAUAGUCGUGAGGUCCUGGAGGGCCAGGCUCCCUCCCUAAUUCCCACCUAUAUGACCUUUCCCAGGGCUGAGUAAAGUGCUCUGUCCACAGUAAGUCCUUAAUAAACACUAUUAUUAUUACAUGCACGGUGAUAUCUUACCUCCAGCAUCUUCAGAUCUGAUUGUCAGACUUUAGUACUUCACUGAUUCUGAGUAGUUCUUAACCAUCUCUAUCGUAAAACCUGAUACAACAGCAAUGCAGUUCACUGGAUUCCAAGACCUAUCCUGAGGGAAAGAAGCAUAUUAUUAUCUUGCUGAAAAAAUAGAACCAGAUUCUGUUCCUUCUGUACGUAUAGGGAGUUCGACUUCACCAAGAAUACUCAAAGAGUACAAGAAGCAGCAUGACCCAGAGGAAAAAAGUACAGGGCUGGGAGCCAGGAAACCUGGGUUCUAAUCCUAACAACGCCACUUAUCCGCUUUGUGCCCAGGAGCAAGUCACUUCACUUCCCUGUGACUCAGUUUCUUCAUCUGUAAAAUGUGGAUUCAUUACCCGUUUUCCCUACCCCUUGAUUGAGUUCCACAUGGAACAGAGACUGUGCAUCAUCUGCAACUUUGCACAGUGCUUGGCACAGAAUAAGCCCUUAGCAAACACCACCAUUACUACUAUUAUUAUUCUUGGUGACUUGACUAGCCAUUGAGUUCCCACAGGAUACCUGCAGCAGUAUGGCGAGAUCUGGAUUCAGAUACGAUAAAGUGGGAGAGGAUAAGGUAAGGUGAGAAGGCACGAGAGGGACCAAACUCGGAGCUUUGCAAGAGGGAGACUGUGAGCUCUUUGUGGGCACGGGUUGUCACUGUUUUAUUGUUGCAGCGCUUAGUAUAGUACUCUGCACACAGUAAGCAUUUAAUAAAU